CCACACCUAAAAACUUUCCACGUGAACCCGUUUCAACCCCAAUAGUUGGGGGUCUUAUUUGGCGGCGGCUGCUGGCUUAAUUGCUGGCGGCUGCUGCUUGAGUGAGCCCUAUCAAAAAAAAGCGAACGUUUGGGCUUCGGCCUGAUUUAGUAGUCUUUUUUUCUUUUAAACCCAUUCCUUAAUACUGAAUAUACUGUGGGGACGAAAGUCUCUGCUUUUAACUAGAUAG
rnacentral:misc_RNA from 1 species